CAGUCGUGCUGGCGCGAAAUCAACCCUCUCGUCGAGAGGUCACAUGGCGUGGCGAGCCUCAAAACCGUCGCGAAGCGUGAACUCUUGGUGAAAUGGAGCACUUUCGUGUCCGCUGGUUAACAUCAAUUUCGAUCGUCAUAAAUGGUUGGAGGAAUGUAGCUUCGAUCUCGUAUUGAAGUGUAUAGCCUUCGGCAGAUGUGAUGAUCGAGAUUGA
rnacentral:rRNA from 1 species